GCCUAGCUGGCUCAGUUGGUAGAGCAUGUGAUUCUUGAUCUUGGGAUCAUGAGUUUUGAGCCCUGUGUUAGGUG
rnacentral:tRNA from 1 species